CUGCCGGGCUCCCUGGUUCCGACGAGGACCAGAGUGGUUUUUUUGGUCCGCGUGGGCGCCAUCGGAAGAAGCGGUCUUCAUCGGCGAUCACAAACCAGCCUCCACCAAGCCCGGGAACGCCAGCUUUGUCUUGAGUAUCUAUAGACCUGCAAGGGAUGGGGAGAGAGUUGAAGGCAAUAUGGGACACCAGGCCCGUGUCCACCCACGCCUCAGAAAGUAGCGGUCUACACCCACCUCUGCGUCCUUCUCCAGUCGAAUGCUCGGCUUUAAUCUUCCCGUCCUCGUUUUCUGAGGCUUCGAGUUUCUUAGCACUUACGGAUGUCAGUGAAGCAAGAAGAAACGUCAAAAGAGAUUUGAAAAGAAAGAAUAUUGCCGGCAUGGGUAGUGUACAUUUUAGUUCCUCAUUCAGGAGGAUCUCUGUGAGUUUGAGGAUGGCCUGGUUUACAAAGUGAGUUCCAGACCAGCCAGGGCUACACAAUGAACAGAGAAUAUGGUUGUGGUGUCAAACGUAGGAAACACUAUGAAACUUGUUAUUCUGAAAACAGAAGUUGUGGAUUGUGGGGAAAAAAUGGAAGUAGGCACAUAGCAGCAAAUUUUAAAAAUAAUUAUAAUUAUGAAAAGAAGACUUAAGGUGACCAAUGCCUAGUAAGCUCGAAUGACUUUAUUAUUGCCAUUAAUAGUCGUAUUUUAUUUGAGCCCAGGGCUUUGUGCAUGCCUGGCAAGCGACUACUGAACUGCAUUCCUAAUACCAUUGCCACCAUCACCAUCAUCAAGAUAUAAAGAGACAAGAGCAUGUCUAAUAAUAAAAUGUAGAGAAUAGAAAGUGUUUAAAACACAGGAGUGGAGGUGAUGGUGACUUAACACUUAUAAGAUAUGCUGAAGAGACAAUGACAGGUGAAUCUCUGUGAGUUCCAAAGCCAGUCUAGUUCAUGUAGAGAGUUCUAGACCAGUCAAGACUACAUAGACCCUAUCUCCCUGUCUU
rnacentral:lncRNA from 1 species